GGAUUCGAUCAUACCAGCACUAAAGCACCGGAUCCCAUCAGAACUCCGAAGUUAAGCGUGCUUGGGCGAGAGUAGUACUAGGAUGGGUGACCUCCUGGGAAGUCCUCGUGUUGCAUUCC
rfam:Sorghum bicolor cultivar BTx623 chromosome 9, whole genome shotgun sequence.